rnacentral:rRNA from 1 species
UACGUAGGGUGCAAGCGUUGUCCGGAAUUAUUGGGCGUAAAGAGCUCGUAGGCGGUCUGUCACGUCGGCUGUGAAAACCCGGGGCUCAACCCCGGGCCUGCAGUCGAUACGGGCAGACUAGAGUGCGGUAGGGGAGACUGGAAUUCCUGGUGUAGCGGUGAAAUGCGCAGAUAAUCAGGAGGAACACCGGUGGCGAAGGCGGGAUCUCUGGGCCGUAACUGGACGCUGGAGGAGCGAAAGCGUGGGGAGCGAACAGGA